CAUGUCUUCAAGGAGGAGGCGAGCGUGAAGGGCUCCGAGGCCUCGAGGCCUCACGAGCCAAGGAAAUCCUCUAAGUUUUUCUUUUGAAGUCAGCCCAGAAGGGAUAGGAACCCACAAGAAAGUCUGAAAACAGAAAGAAUUAAAUUCGCAUGACAAAAAACUGAGAGUCAUCUGAAGAGAUCAAUAUGGAUGCCCAGGGAAUGUUACGAUAUAUUUACAGAAGGUGGAAAGGAGGGCAGAAUGAUCUUUAUCCUGGAAGUGACAGAAGAAAAAUGAUUAACAGGGUUUUGGUAACCUGUGUGAGCAAAGAGACAUUUGGCAGUCCCACCCCAUUGAUGAGUUCGUGUGAUCUGACCCGGAUGAACUAAUUCCCAGGUUUACCUGCACCACUCGUGAUUAAGAAAACAUUAGGGAGUUAGUAACUGCCUCAAGUUACACCAAGCAUGGACAUUGAGAGGGUGAAGGUCACUUCUCCAAGUCACUGGACAUUUUUAUUGAACUGAAUUGUGGAAGAUAAAUAGACUAUGGGUUGUUCUAUCCCCGGAUUUUUUUAAAAAGAAAACACAGCAAACUCUUCAUUGCUCUUACAGAAUUUUUUACAGUCCUUGUGAAUGCCCUUCAGGUCAGCCAACCUGAAGGGAUAAAACCUUGCCCUGGGGGUCGUUUGGGAGCUAUGAACGACUGGAUUACUUGGUCAGUUUUGUUUGCUGGCAAGCACGGAAACCC